UGCCCGAUGGUGUAACUGGCAACACGCUUGAUUUUGAUUCAAGAAAGUCUAGGUUCGAGCCCUAGUCGGGCAA
rnacentral:tRNA from 1 species